AAAGACAGAAGUUGUGGUCAAACCCUGGACCUGGAAAUUCCUUCAACCGAGGGCCAAUCAGAACAGGCUUUCUGAGGUCAAAGGACAACAGGGCCCGACCUGUGGAAACAGAGAUGUUGACACAGAGGCAGAGCCCGACUACAGCACAGCGACACUCCUGGGUAAAGAACACGCUGCUGUGCAGUUUAAAGACAAGAGAUUUCUGCAGGAAAAACUAAGGAUAUAUACAGACAGAAGACACAGGGGGAGAGAAAGAGAGAUAAGCUUGGACAAAGGUGCCAUCUGGAAACAAGCUGGAUAUGCUGUGGUUAUAUGGCGUGAGUCUUAAGCCCUAGAGCUGAGCAAAAAGUGUGCAUUUAUACAGUAUCUUUACUUUUUCUGCUUUGCCUUUAGAAACUCAGUAUGGCUACUAAAGCUGCACAGUGUAAUUACAACAUAAUGACAUUGCAAUUUAACAUUUCCAUAAAAAAAACAUUAACUUUGUUAUCAGUUAGAAAUGAUCUAAUUUUAGUGAUACCAUUAUCUACAGACAUCAUUGUGCGCACGCUUCAUCACAUUCAUAAGAAUGCAUCAAACAGCUGCUGUGGCUUCUGAUGUUGAUGUUGACAUGGUGCUUCUGCUGUGCCAGUUGAUCACAUUCACAGACGCAGAGGUGGAAAGUAACUAAGCACAUUUACUC